GACGAACGCUGGCGGCGUGCCUAAUACAUGCAAGUCGAGCGAAGUUUUUCUGGUGCUUGCACUAGAAACACUUAGCGGCGAACGGGUGAGUAACACGUAAAAAACCUGCCUCAUAGACUGGGACAACUAUUGGAAACGAUAGCUAAUACCGGAUAACAGUAUUUCUCGCAUGAGAGAUAUUUAAAAGUUGGUUAUGCUAACACUAUGAGAUGGCUUUGCGGUGCAUUAGCUAGUUGGUGGGGUAAAGGCCCACCAAGGCGACGAUGCAUAGCCGACCUGAGAGGGUGAUCGGCCACACUGGGACUGAGACACGGCCCAGACUCCUACGGGAGGCAGCAGUAGGGAAUCUUCCGCAAUGGGCGAAAGCCUGACGGAGCAACGCCGCGUGAGUGAAGAAGGAUUUCGGUUCGUAAAGCUCUGUUGUUAGGGAAGAAUGGAUAUGUAGUAACUAUACAUGUAAGAGACGGUACCUAACCAGAAAGCCACGGCUAACUACGUG
rnacentral:rRNA from 1 species